rnacentral:tRNA from 1 species
UAUGUUAUGGUGUGUGACGCACAAUGAAUUUUGAUUUCGUUGGUUUAAGUUUGAUUCUUAAUAAUAUAA